CAACCCUUAAGCCUUAGUUGCUUAGCGUUGGGAGGUUGCCUCUCGCAACUCCCUAAAAUCAGUGGCAAGGACCACGACACCUUGAAGUGUAGUAGUUUAAUUCUCACUUUGGAGGACCGUAGCCCAGCCAUAAACCAACUAUUUUUAAUUAUU
rnacentral:misc_RNA from 1 species